CCGAUAGCGUAUAUUAAAGUUGUUGCAGUUAAAAAGCUCGUAGUUGAAUUUCGGGGUUAGUAGGUUGGUCAUGCCUCUGGUAUGUACUGGUCUCACUGAUUCCUCCUUCCUGAUGAGCCGUAAUGCCAUUAAUUUGGUGUUGCGGGGAAUUUGGACUGUUACUUUGAAAAAAUUAGAGUGUGUAAAGCAAGCUAACGCUUGAAUACAUUAGCAUGGAAUAAUGAAAUAGGACGUUCGAUCCUAUUUUGUUGGUUUCUAGGAUUGCAGUAAUGAUUAAUAGGGAUAGUUGGGGGCAUUAGUAUUAAAUUGUCAGAGUGUAAAUUCUUGGAUUUAUUGAAGACUAACUACUGCGAAAGCAUUUGCCAAGGAUGUUUUCAUUAAUCAAGAACGAACGUUAGGGGAUCGAAGACGAUCAGAUACCGUCGUAGUCUUAACCAUAAACUAUGCCGACUAGGGAUCGGAUGAUGUUAAUUUUUUAAUGACUCAUUCGGCGCCUUAUG
rnacentral:rRNA from 1 species